AUUGAACGCUGGCGGCAGGCCUAACACAUGCAAGUCGAACGAGUGGCGGACGGGUGAGUAAUGUCUGGGAAACUGCCUGAUGGAGGGGGAUAACUACUGGAAACGGUAGCUCAUACCGCAUACCAUCGGAUGUGCCCAGAUGGGAUUAGCUAGUAGGUGGGGUAACGGCUCACCUAGGCGACGAUCCCUAGCUGGUCUGAGAGGAUGACCAGCCACACGGGAACGGAGCAACGGUCCAGACUCCUAUGGGAGGCAGCAGUGGGGAAUAUGGCACAAUGGGCGAACGCCUGAUGCAGCCAUGCCGCGUGUAUGAAGAAGGCCUUCGGGUUGUAAAGUACUUUCAGCGGGGAUGCGUUACCCGCAGAAGAAGCACCGGCUACCUCCGUGCCAGCAGCCGCGGUAAUAC
rnacentral:rRNA from 1 species